GAUGAAGGAACGUAGCGAAAUGCGAUAAGUAAUGUGAAUUGCAGAAUUCAGUGAAUCAUCGAAUCUUUGAACGCACAUUGCGCCCGCCAGUAUUCUGGCGGGCAUGCCUGUCUGAGCGUCAUUUCAACCCUCAUGCCCCUAGGGCGUGGUGUUGGGGAUCGGCCAAAGCCCGCGAGGGACGGCCGGCCCCUAAAUCUAGUGGCGGACCCGUCGUGGCCUCCUCUGCGAAGUAGUGAUAUUCCGCAUCGGAGAGCGACGAGCCCCUGCCGUUAAACCCCCAACUUUCCAAGGUUGACCUCAGAUCAGGUAGGAAUACCCGCUGAACUUAAGCAUAUCAAUAAGCGGAGGA
rnacentral:misc_RNA from 1 species